rnacentral:SRP_RNA from 1 species
UGAGGGGUUGGCGCGGGCAAGCGCCUCGCCAACCUGGUCAGGACCGGAAGGUAGCAGCCACAACGAGCCCCGCUUGGGUCGAUGUCCAACCUCUCACCC